rnacentral:rRNA from 1 species
AGAAGCUUGCUUCUCUGAUGUUAGCGGCGGACGACGUGAGUAACACGUGGAUAACCUACCUAUAAGACUGGGAUAACUUCGGGAAACCGGAGCUAAUACCGGAUAAUAUUUUGAACCGCAUGGUUCAAAAGUGAAAGACGGUCUUGCUGUCACUUAUAGAUGGAUCCGCGCUGCAUUAGCUAGUUGGUAAGGUAACGGCUUACCAAGGCAACGAUGCAUAGCCGACCUGAGAGGGUGAUCGGCCACACUGGAACUGAGACACGGUCCAGACUCCUACGGGAGGCAGCAGUAGGGAAUCUUCCGCAAUGGGCGAAAGCCUGACGGAGCAACGCCGCGUGAGUGAUGAAGGUCUUCGGAUCGUAAAACUCUGUUAUUAGGGAAGAACAUAUGUGUAAGUAACUGUGCACAUCUUGACGGUACCUAAUCAGAAAGCCACGGCUAACUACGUGCCAGCAGCCGCGGUAAUACGUAGGUGGCAAGCGUUAUCCGGAAUUAUUGGGCGUAAAGCGCGCGUAGGCGGUUUUUUAAGUCUGAUGUGAAAGCCCACGGCUCAACCGUGGAGGGUCAUUGGAAACUGGAAAACUUGAGUGCAGAAGAGGAAAGUGGAAUUCCAUGUGUAGCGGUGAAAUGCGCAGAGAUAUGGAGGAACACCAGUGGCGAAGGCGACUUUCUGGUCUGUAACUGACGCUGAUGUGCGAAAGCGUGGGGAUCAAACAGGAUUAGAUACCCUGGUAGUCCACGCCGUAAACGAUGAGUGCUAAGUGUUAGGGGGUUUCCGCCCCUUAGUGCUGCAGCUAACGCAUUAAGC